CUAAAGCCAUUGCUGUUAAAAAGCCAGUGCUCGCCAGCAAUUAUUAUAUAAUGCCCUCUGAGCUACUUCACAUCUUUCUCUUUCCAUGUGUCUGCCUACAUUAGCACAUGGAUGCAUUCCUUUCCUACUGUUCUGCUGCUGAAAUGGAAAGUGCAGCCUCAUUUUGUCGGUUUUAUAAGUGUUGAUGGAGCAUGCCAGGUGGUGAUUACCAUUCUGAAGUUUCAGCCCUAGUGACAGGGAAGACUGUUUUGUAAUACUUUGCAAAAGCUGACUUUUAAAACUCUUUCUUUAAAGCAUUGCAAUUCUUGCUUUGUGUCACCCCUGGCAUUCCACAACUCUUGCCUAGUGAGGGCAAGGUAAUUUCUGAAAAUAUCAAAUGAAGAUAAAGGCCACAGAGUUUCAAUGUUGACUUGUUUAUCUGGGAAAAAAAAAGGGGGGGGGGAAAUAAAAGGAUUUUGAAAAAAAAACUCCUUUUCACUAGAGUUGUACCUUGAGAUAUUUAGCUUAAGUUAUCUAACCUGUGUUACCACACUUGUCUAGCACAGAUGCAUCAAGGAAAGCUAAAAAGCUGUCAGAUGACAUCUAAUCAUUCAAAACUGCAAAUUACCCAUCCUGUUACAGUCUUUAAACUCUAUUCCUCACAUGGACAAUCAGAUGGAGGUCUUCAGUCAAAUUCCACUGUGACUUUAGGCAGCUCAUUUGUACUCUCUGUUCUGAAACUUCGGUGAAACUAAUGAUUGACACACAGAGAUAACAGCAUGGGGUGUACUGAUCCUCAUGAUUUCUCAGUUGAAAAGGGGUUGGAGCAAGUGCACAAGAACAAAAGACCCCAGCAAGAAGCUUCUUUUUGGUUUAAAAAAAUGUUUUAAACCAUAUUUUCAAGCCUUUUUACUUCUAAGAAGUCUUAUCUGAUGUUAAUAUGGCUUCCAGUUUAUGUAGCAGAUGGGUCUAUCACCAGCAUCAGUGGAUGAAAGCUCUGCAGAGAGAACAGUGUUGCACUUGUACAGUUGACCUAGACAGUAUUUAGUAUUGACCUCAAGUCUUCAACAUGUAUUCCCAGAGCUCAGAUGAAUUGAAGAACAGAAACAAAUAAACGUCUUUGGACUGUGGGAGCUCCUCACUUUCCCUACACAGCAUCGGAUGAAGUGUCAGAACACAAGGGUCAUCUGAGUAUUCUUGUCAAGUUUUCCAGAUGCUUGUUUUGAAUUGAUGGGUUUGAACAGGAGCAAUUUGUUUUGCUGGCACUUCCUCCUUCCAGCUGCACAAAGAGUCAGCCCUUGCAGAUACAUUAUCAUCUUUUUCCUUGAAGAAGCUGCUCUUCUUAAGAUAGAACAAAUAGGUUGGGAGAUUUCAGGUCUGAACCAAAGGUCAAACCUGGCUGAUAGCUGCAAAAGGGAAUGUGAAUGUGUAGACUGUCGCCUGGGUGGUAGAUAUGUCUUGCAUGCAUAUGUGUGUAGAUAAGGCCAGAUAGAUUGACAUUUUGACUGUAAUCUA